GACCUCAAAUCAGGUAGGGCUACCCGCUGAACUUAAGCAUAUCAAUAAGCGGAGGAAAAGAAACUAACAAGGAUUCCCUUAGUAGCGGCGAGCGAACCGGGAUGAGCUCAAAUUUGUAAUCUGGCGUCCUCCGGGCGUCCGAGUUGUAAUCUAUAGAAGCGUUUUCCGUAUCGGACCGUGUCCAAGUCCCUUGGAACAGGGUAUCAAAGAGGGUGACAAUCCCGUACUUGACACGACGACCGGUGUACUGUGAUACGUCUUCUACGAGUCGAGUUGUUUGGGAAUGCAGCUCAAAAUGGGUGGUAAAUUCCAUAUAAAGCUAAAUAUUGGCGAGAGACCGAUAGCGAACAAGUACCGUGAGGGAAAGAUGAAAAGCACUUUGGAAAGAGAGUUAAACAGUAUGUGAAAUUGUUGAAAGGGAAACGAUUGAAGUCAGUCGUGUCGGGAGGAUUCAGCUGGCUCUGCCGGUGCACUUUCUUCUCGACGGGUCAACAUCAGUUUUGAUCGGCGGAUAAGGGCGGUGAGAAGGUGGCACCCUCGGGUGUGUUAUAGCUCGCUGUCGCAUACGUCGGUCGAGACUGAGGAAUGCAGCUCGCCUUUAUGGCCGGGGUUCGCCCACGUCCGAGCUUAGGAUGUUGACAUAAUGGCUUUAAACGACCCGUCUUGAAACACGGACCAAGGAGUCUAACAUAUCUGCGAGUGUUUGGGUGUCAAACCCGGGCGCGUAAUGAAAGUAAACGUAGGAGGGAUCCGCGAGGAGCACCUUCGACCGAUCUGGAUCUUCUGUGAUGGAUUUGAGUAAGAGCAUAUAUGCUGGGACCCGAAAGAUGGUGAACUAUGCCUGAAUAGGGCGAAGCCAGGGGAAACUCUGGUGGAGGCUCGUAGCGAUUCUGACGUGCAAAUCGAUCGUCAAAUUUGGGUAUAGGGGCGAAAGACUAAUCGAACCAUCUAGUAG
rnacentral:rRNA from 1 species